rnacentral:rRNA from 1 species
UGACCGCUGGCGGCCGGCCUAACACAUGCAAGUCGAGCGGAUGAAGGGAGCUUGCUCCUGGAUUCAGCGGCGGACGGGUGAGUAAUGCCUAGGAAUCUGCCUGGUAGUGGGGGAUAACGUCCGGAAACGGGCGCUAAUACCGCAUACGUCCUGAGGGAGAAAGUGGGGGAUCUUCGGACCUCACGCUAUCAGAUGAGCCUAGGUCGGAUUAGCUAGUUGGUGGGGUAAAGGCCUACCAAGGCGACGAUCCGUAACUGGUCUGAGAGGAUGAUCAGUCACACUGGAACUGAGACACGGUCCAGACUCCUACGGGAGGCAGCAGUGGGGAAUAUUGGACAAUGGGCGAAAGCCUGAUCCAGCCAUGCCGCGUGUGUGAAGAAGGUCUUCGGAUUGUAAAGCACUUUAAGUUGGGAGGAAGGGCAGUAAGUUAAUACCUUGCUGUUUUGACGUUACCAACAGAAUAAGCACCGGCUAACUUCGUG